GACGAACGCUGGCGGCGUGCUUAACACAUGCAAGUCGAACGGAAAGGCCCUGCUUUUGUGGGGUGCUCGAGUGGCGAACGGGUGAGUAACACGUGAGUAACCUGCCCUUGACUUUGGGAUAACUUCAGGAAACUGGGGCUAAUACCGGAUAGGAGCUCCUGCUGCAUGGUGGGGGUUGGAAAGUUUUGGCGGUUGGGGAUGGACUCGCGGCUUAUCAGCUUGUUGGUGGGGUAGUGGCUUACCAAGGCUUUGACGGGUAGCCGGCCUGAGAGGGUGACCGGCCACAUUGGGACUGAGAUACGGCCCAGACUCCUACGGGAGGCAGUAGUGGGGAAUAUUGCACAAUGGGCGGAAGCCUGAUGCAGCAACGCCGCGUGCGGGAUGACGGCCUUCGGGUUGUAAACCGCUUUCGCCUGUGACGAAGCGUGAGUGACGGUAAUGGGUAAAGAAGCACCGGCUAACUACGUG
rnacentral:rRNA from 1 species